GAUGAACGCUAGCGGCAGGCCUAAUACAUGCAAGUCGAGGGAGAAUGUUGGAUUCGUCUGACAUGAAACCGGCGCACGGGUGCGUAACACGUAUGCAACCUACCUUUAACUGGGGUAUAGCUCAGAGAAAUCUGAAUUAAUCCCCCAUAAGACUACGACAUGGCAUCAUGAUGUAGUUAAAGCUCCGGCGGUUAAGGAUGGGCAUGCGGUACAUUAGCUAGUUGGUGAGGUAAUGGCUCACCAAGGCUACGAUGUAUAGGGGGUCUGAGAGGAUGAUCCCCCACACUGGUACUGAGACACGGACCAGACUCCUACGGGAGGCAGCAGUAGGGAAUAUUGGUCAAGGGACGCAAGUCUGAACCAGCCAUGCCGCGUGAAGGAUGAAGGCCCUAUGGGUCGUAAACUUCUUUUAUUAGGGAAGAAAAAACGGGAUGCGUCCUGUACUGACGGUACUUAAUGAAUAAGGAUCGGCUAACUUCGUGCCAGCCGCCGCAGUAA
rnacentral:rRNA from 1 species